rnacentral:rRNA from 1 species
AGUGAACGCUGGCGGCGUGCUUAACACAUGCAAGUCGAACGAGAACGGAUUAUAGCUUGCUAUAAUUGUCAGCUAAGUGGCGCACGGGUGAGUAAUGUAUAGGUAAUAUGCCUCUUACUAAGGGAUAACAAAUGGAAACGUUUGCUAAUACCUUAUACUCCUUAUUAACAGAAGUUAAUAAGGGAAAGAUUUAUUGGUAAGAGAUUAGCCUGUAUUGUAUCAGUUAGUUGGUGGGGUAAUGGCUUACCAAGACUAUGACACAUAACUGGUUUGAGAGGAUAAUCAGUCACACUGGAACUGAGACACGGUCCAGACUCCUACGGGAGGCAGCAGUGGGGAAUAUUGCACAAUGGACGAAAGUCUGAUGCAGCAACGCCGCGUGGAGGAUGACACAUUUCGGUGCGUAUACUCCUUUUAUAUGAGAAGAUAAUGACGGUAUUAUAUGAAUAAGCACCGGCUAACUCCGUGCCAGCCGCCGCGGUAA